UGGGGAAUAUUGGGCAAUGGGGGAAACCCUGACCCAGCGACGCCGCGUGAGGGAAGAAGGCCUUAGGGUCGUAAACCUCUGUUGUGUGGGAAGAAGAGUGCGACGGUACCACACGAGGAAGUCCCGGCUAACUACGUGCCAGCAGCCGCGGUAAUACGUAGGGGACGAGCGUUGUCCGGAUUUACUGGGCGUAAAGGGCGCGUAGGCGGUCAUUUAAGUCAGCUGUGAAAUGGUUUGGCUUAACUGGAUCAUGCGGUUGAAACUGGAUGACUGGAGUGCUGGAGAGGCAAGUGGAAUUCCCAGUGUAGCGGUGAAAUGCGUAGAUAUUGGGAAGAACACCGGUGGCGAAGGCGACUUGCUGGCCAGCAACUGACGCUGAGGCGCGAAAGCCAGGGGAGCAAACGG
rnacentral:rRNA from 1 species